CACGGCCCAGACUCCUACGGGAGGCAGCAGUAGGGAAUCUUCCGCAAUGGACGAAAGUCUGACGGAGCAACGCCGCGUGAGUGAGGAAGGCCUUCGGGUCGUAAAGCUCUG
rnacentral:rRNA from 1 species